GAUGAACGCUGGCGGCGUGCCUAAUACAUGCAAGUCGAGCGAACAGACGAGGAGCUUGCUCCUCUGACGUUAGCGGCGGACGGGUGAGUAACACGUGGAUAACCUACCUAUAAGACUGGGAUAACUUCGGGAAACCGGAUCUAAUACCGGAUAAUAUAUUGAACCGCAGGGUUCAUUAGUGAAAGACGGUUUUGCUGUCACUAGUAGAUGGAUCCGCGCCGCAUUAGCUAGUUGGUAAGGUAACGGCUUACCAAGGCGACGAUGCGUAGCCGACCUGAGAGGGUGAUCGGCCACACUGGAACUGAGACACGGUCCAGACUCCUACGGGAGGCAGCAGUAGGGAAUCUUCCGCAAUGGGCGAAAGCCUGACGGAGCAACGCCGCGUGAGUGAUGAAGGUCUUCGGAUCGUAAAACUCUGUUAUUAGGGAAGAACAAAUGUGUAAGUAACUAUGCACGUCUUGACGGUACCUAAUCAGAAAGCCACGGCUAACUACGUG
rnacentral:rRNA from 1 species